rnacentral:rRNA from 1 species
UGUAAUACAUAGGUAACCUGCCUGUGAGUGGUGGAUAACUUGCUGAAAAGCAAGCUAAUACAGCAUGUGAUAAGCAAGUAUUUCUUGUUUAUUAAAGUCUUCGGGCGCUCGCAGAGGGGCCUAUGCCUGAUUAGCUAGUUGGUGAGGUAACGGCUCACCAAGGCGAUGAUCAGUAGCUGGUCUGAGAGGAUGGUCAGCCAGAUGGGGACUGAGAUACGGCCCCAACUCCUACGGGAGGCAGCAGCAAGGAAUAUUGGGCAAUGGGCGAAAGCCUGACCCAGCGACACCGCGUGAGGGAUUAAGGCCUUCGGGUUGUAAACCUCUUUUCUCGAGGAAGAAGUUCUGACGGUACUCGAGGAAUAAGCCACGGCUAACUACGUGCCAGCAGCCGCGGUAAUACGUAGGUGGCGAACGUUACCCGGAUUUAUUGGGCGUAAAGAGAGUGUAGCGGCUUGUUAAGUCGAGUGUUAAAUCUUCUGACUCAAUCAGGAGCUGCAUUCGAUACUGGUAGGCUUGAGGGCAGCAGAGGAAAACGGAAUUCCCAGUGUAGCGGUGAAAUGCGUUGAUAUUGGGAAGAACACCAGAGGCGAAGGCGGUUUUCCAGGCUGUAUCUGACGCUGAGACUCGAAAGCGUGGGGAGCGAAGCGGAUUAGAUACCCGCGUAGUCCACGCCUUAAACGGUGAACAUUAGGUAUGGGAAGUAUCGACCCUUUCUGUGUCGUAGCUAACGCUUUAAAUGUUCCGCCUGGGGAGUACGGUCGCAAGGCUAAAACUCAAAGGAAUUGACGGGGGUCCGCACAAGCAGCGGAGCGUGUGGUUUAAUUCGAUGAUACACGAAGAACCUUACCAGGGUUUGACAUGUCAGAAGUAGGAAACCGAAAGGUGGACGACCUGUAUCCAAUCAGGAACUGUCACAGGUGCUGCAUGGCUGUCGUCAGCUCGUGCCGUGAGGUGUUGGGUUAAGUCCCGCAACGAGCGCAACCCUUGUUCUAUGUUAAUUUCUCAUAGAAGACUGCCUUGUACAGCAAGGAGGAAGAAGAGGAUGACGUCAAGUCAGCAUGGCCUUUAUGCCCUGGGCUACACACACGCUACAAUGGGUAAUACAGAGGGUUGCCAAAGAGUGAUCUGGAGCCAAUCCCUUAAAAUUAUCCUCAGUUCGGAUUGUAGGCUGAAAUCGCCUACAUGAAGUCGGAGUUGCUAGUAAUCGCAGGUCAGCUAUACUGCGGUGAAUACGUUCUCGGACCUUGUACACACCGCCCGUCACGUCGUGGAAGUCGGAAACACUUGAAGCCAAUGUGUUAACUUGUUUUCAAGAAAUAGUUGUCGAAGGUGGAGCUGAUAACUGUGGCGAAGUCGUAACAAGGCA